GUUAGUAAUUGCGAAUGAACAUAGACAUGCUUAGCUUGAUAAAUGGAGCCUCUGGCUUUGAAUUGUGUUUGUGAACAUGUAUUACCAACAGAGGUGUGGGUGUUAGCGUAUUGGAAGAAAGUGUCAAUGAAGGUGAGAGUCCUUGUUGUCAUGUGCAGCCCUCUGUGCACGGAGUAUGUUUGGUGAGUCACACUCCUUGGCAUUGGAAUGCAAAUUGGGUGGUAAGUUUCAUGCACAGGUAAAUACAUGAUUGAGACUGAUAGCGCACAAGUACCAUGAGGGAAAUAUGAAAAGGACUUUGAAAAGAGAGUUAAAUGAGUUUGCACUUGCUGAACAGAAAGUAAACAGAUUUGAUUAUACUGCGUGAGAUUGUGGUGUUUGCUUUGCAUGUCGAUGUGAAUUGCAAAUGCAAUGUUUGUUGCUGUGUGUGCUAGUUAUUUGUGCAUGUGCUGACCAUUGCACAUGAAUGGUAAUAUCUCUGCGGGGGGU
rnacentral:rRNA from 1 species